CAGUGUAUAGCUAAACACAGAUAAAGCGUCUCCCUUACACCGAGGAAAUAUCCGUGCAAACCGGAUUACACUGC
rnacentral:tRNA from 1 species